GCCUUCCUCUCUUCCUGGCAUCCAUCUCCGGCGACCGCGAAUAAAUUCAGAUCCAGAAACCUCAAGGUGAAGAGAAGAAGGACGGAAACCUCGAACAGCUUCAAAAGAGCUUGGGAUGAGAUUGAAACGAGGGAGAUGGAGGCGAACGAAGUAGCAGGAACAGCGAAAAACCCUAACCCUAAUGAGGAAAUAAGAGACGACAGAGCAGAGAAAGAAGGAAAGAAAAGAAAAGAGUGAGUUUCAGUUGAGAUGAGGAUAUG
rnacentral:lncRNA from 1 species